AUUGAACGCUGGCGGCAGGCUUAACACAUGCAAGUCGAGCGGGGUGAUGGUGCUUGCACUAUCACUUAGCGGCGGACGGGUGAGUAAUGCUUAGGAAUCUGCCUAUUAGUGGGGGACAACAUCUCGAAAGGGAUGCUAAUACCGCAUACGUCCUACGGGAGAAAGCAGGGGAUCACUUGUGACCUUGCGCUAAUAGAUGAGCCUAAGUCGGAUUAGCUAGUUGGUGGGGUAAAGGCCUACCAAGGCGACGAUCUGUAGCGGGUCUGAGAGGAUGAUCCGCCACACUGGGACUGAGAAACGGCCCAGACCCCUACGGGAGGCAGCAGUGGGGAAUAUUGGACAAUGGGGGGAACCCUGAUCCAGCCAUGCCGCGUGUGUGAAGAAGGCCUUAUGGUUGUAAAGCACUUUAAGCGAGGAGGAGGCUCUUUUGGUUAAUACCCAAGAUAAGUGGACGUUACUCGCAGAAUAAGCACCGGCUAACUCUGUGCCAGCCGCCGCGGUAA
rnacentral:rRNA from 1 species